UACAGGGAGUACAAGCGUUAGUCGUCAUUAUUAAGCGUAAGGGGUAUGUAGGUGGUUUUUAAAAUUUUUUAUUAAAUGCUGGGAUAUAGCCUCAGACGAAUAAUUUUAGAUUUUCAAACUUGAGUUAUGAAGAAGUUGUUAGAAUGGUGUGUGGAGGGGUAGAAUCCGUAGAGGCACAUCGGAAUACCAAAGGCGAAGGCAUUCAACUAUUUAUAACUGACACUGAGGUACGGAAGCGUGGGUAUCGAAUCGG
rnacentral:rRNA from 1 species